CCCCCCAAAACAAAUGGGGCAUGUGUUUGUGUGUGAAAAAAAAAUAAAAAAAAUUGCGAAUGACUCGUUAAAUUAUUUAUCAUGUAUUUGGUGGUGUCCUUACCACUCGGAUAACCGUGGUAAUUCUAGCGCUAAUACGUGCAGCAUAUCCCAACUUCUGGAAGGGAUGUAUUUAUUGGAUAAAAGAUCGAUCCAAGCCUGCCCGUUGUUGCGGCGAAUCAUGGUGACUUGUCGAAUCGCAUGGCCUUCGAGCCGGCAAUGUUCCAUUCAAAUUUCUGCCCUAUCAACUUUGGAUGGUAGGAUAGAGGCCUAGCAUGGUGGUAACGGGUGACAGAGAAUGCGGGGUCGAUUCCGAAGAGGGAGCCUGGGAGAUGGCUACCACAUCCAAGGAAGGCAGCAGGCGCGUAAAUUACCCAAUCCUGACAUAGGGAGGUAGUUACAAUAAAUAACAAUAAUGGGCUUUUUCGAGUCCGAUAAUUGGAAUGAGAACAGUCGUAAACUCCUUGUGGAUCCAUUGGAGGGCAUGCUAGUGCCAGCUACCUCGGUAAUUUCAACUCGAGUAGCGUAUAUUUAAGUUGUUACAGUUAAAAAGCUCGUAGUCGGAUUUUGAGUAGGAAGGAUUGGUCCGCUCUUGCGGGCGUGCAUCGAUGCUUUCGCCUUUCUUGUCGGGUAUGUGUUCCUUGCCUUUAUUGGCUGGGAUCCAGAGUCGGCGCUAUUACUUUGAAAAAAUUAGAGUGUUCAAAGCAGGCCUGUGCUCUGAACAUAUUAGCAUGGAAUAACGCGAUAGGACUCUGGUCCUAUUUCGUUGGUCUUCGGGAUUGGAGUAAUGAUUAAUAGAGACGGUUGGGGGCAUUCGUAUUCCAUUGUCAGAGGUGAAAUUCUUGGAUUUAUGAAUGACGAACUUCUGCGAAAGAAUUUGCCAUGGACGUUCUCAUUAAUCAAGAACGAAAGUUGGGGGAUUGAAGACGAUCAAAUACCGUCCUAGUCUCAACCAUAAACGAUGCCGACUAGAGAUUGGCGGAUGUCUAUUGGAUGACUCUGCCAGCACCUUGUGAGAAAUCAAAGUUUACGGGUUGCCGGAAAAGUAUGGUCGCAAGGUUGAAACUUAAACGAAUUGACGGAAGGACAUCACCAAGCGUGAAGCUUGCAUCUUAAUGACUCAACACGGGGAUACUCAUCAGGUCCAAACAUAGCAAGGAUUGACAGAUUGAAAGUUUUUUCUUAAUUCUAUGGGUGGUGGUGCAUGGUCGUUCUUAGUUGGUGGAGUGAUUUGUCUAGUUAAUUUCGUUAACAAACGAGACCUCAGCCUGCUAAAUAGCUAUUUCCUUGUGACCAGCUUCUUAGAGAGAUUGUUGGAUGACUAGCCAACAGAAGUUUAAGGCAAUAACAAGUCUGUGAUGCCCCUAGAUGUUAUGGGUCGCACGCGUGCUACACUGAUGAAUCCAACGAGUCGCUUGCCUGGGUCGAAAGGUCUGGGUGACCUUCUUAAGGUUCAUCGUGAUGGGGAUAGAUUGUUGUAAUUAUCGAUCUUGAAUGAAAAAUUCCUAGUAAGCGCGAGUCAUCAACUCGCGCUGAUUAUGUCCCUGCCCUUUGUACACACGGCCCGUACUGAUUCAAUGGUCCGGUGAAGUGUCCGGAUUGCGGUGAUCUCGGUGGUUUGCCAUUGGGGGUGCUGUGAGAAAUUCAUUGAACCUUAUCAUUUAGAGGAAGGAGAAGUCGUAACAAGGUUUCCGUAGGUGAACCUGCGGAAG
rnacentral:rRNA from 1 species